rnacentral:rRNA from 1 species
UACCAGCACCCCGAGUGGUCGGGACGUUUAUUGGGCCUAAAGCAUCCGUAGCCGGUUCUACAAGUCUUCCGUUAAAUCCACCUGCUCAACAGAUGGGCUGCGGAAGAUACUAUGGAGCUAGGAGGCGGGAGAGGCAAGCGGUACUCGAUGGGUAGGGGUAAAAUCCGUUGAUCCAUUGAAGACCACCAGUGGCAAAGGCGGCUUGCCAGAACGCGCUCGACGGUGAGGGAUGAAAGCUGGGGGAGCAAACCGG